UGCGUAGGUGCCAAGCGUCGUCCGGAUUUACUGGGCGUAAAGGAUGCGUAGGCGGACAUUUAAGUCAGAUGUGAAAUACCCGAGCUUAACUUGGGUGCUGCAUUUGAAACUGGGUGUCUAGAGUGCAGGAGAGGUAAGUGGAAGUCCUAGUGUAGCGGUGAAAUGAGUAGAGAUUAGGAAGAACCCCAGUGGCGAAGGCGACUUACUGGACUGUAACUGACGCUGAGGCAUGAAAGCGUGGGGAGCAAACAGG
rnacentral:rRNA from 1 species